CAGCAGCCGCGGUAAUACAGAGGGUGCAAGCGUUAAUCGGAUUUACUGGGCGUAAAGCGUGCGUAGGCGGCUUUUUAAGUCGGAUGUGAAAUCCCUGAGCUUAACUUAGGAAUUGCAUUCGAUACUGGGAAGCUAGAGUAUGGGAGAGGAUGGUAGAAUUCCAGGUGUAGCGGUGAAAUGCGUAGAGAUCUGGAGGAAUACCGAUGGCGAAGGCAGCCAUCUGGCCUAAUACUGACGCUGAGGUACGAAAGCAUGGGGAGCAAACAGGAUUAGAUACCCGAGUAGUCCCUGUCUCUUAUAC
rnacentral:rRNA from 1 species